AGAUUUUCGAGAACAGCUAAUU
rnacentral:miRNA from 1 species